rnacentral:rRNA from 1 species
AUUGAACGCUGGCGGCAGGCUUAACACAUGCAAGUCGAGCGGAGAUGAGGUGCUUGCACCUUAUCUUAGCGGCGGACGGGUGAGUAAUGCUUAGGAAUCUGCCAUUUAGUGGGGACAACAUUCCGAAAGGAAUGCUAAUACCGCAUACGUCCUACGGGAGAAAGCAGGGAGUCUUCGGACCUUGCGCUAAAUGAUGAGCCUAAGUCGGAUUAGCUAGUUGGUGGGGUAAAGGCCUACCAAGGCGACGAUCUGUAGCGGGUCUGAGAGGAUGAUCCGCCACACUGGGACUGAGACACGGCCCAGACUCCUACGGGAGGCAGCAGUGGGGAAUAUUGGACAAUGGGCGGAAGCCUGAUCCAGCCAUGCCGCGUGUGGGAAGAAGG